CGCUCCUUGAUUUUAAUUAAUAAGGAGUCGGACCUGCCCAGUGAUAAGUAUUUAACGGCCGCGGUACUCUGACCGUGCAAAGGUAGCAUAAUCAUUUGCCCUAUAAUUGAGGGCUAGUAUGAAUGGUUUGACAAGAACAAUACUGUCUCUUUCAAAAUUUCUAGAAUUUAUUCUUUAGGUGAAGAAACCUAAAUAAAAUUAAAAGACAAGAAGACCCUAUCGAGCUUAAACUCUUUUUAUAAAAUAAAAAAAAUUAAUAAUAUUUUUUGUUAUAAAAAAUUUUGGUUGGGGCGACUAAGGAACAAAAAAAGCUUCUUUAUUUAAUAAAGACAAAUACGUAUUGAUCCAUAAAAUCUUGAUUAAAAGAAUUAGUUACCGUAGGGAUAACAGCAUAAUCUUUUUUAAGAGUUCUUAUCGAAAAAAAGGUUUGUGACCUCGAUGUUGGACUAAAAUUUCCUAAUAGAUGCAGACGUCUUUAAGGG
rnacentral:rRNA from 1 species